rnacentral:rRNA from 1 species
UACGGGGGGGGCAAGCGUUGUUCGGAAUUACUGGGCGUAAAGGGCUCGUAGGCGGCCAACUAAGUCAGACGUGAAAUCCCUCGGCUUAACCGGGGAACUGCGUCUGAUACUGGAUGGCUUGAGUUCGGGAGAGGGAUGCGGAAUUCCAGGUGUAGCGGUGAAAUGCGUAGAUAUCAGGAAGAACACCCGUGGCUAAGGCGGCUCUCUAGUACGGUACUGACGCUGAGACGCGAAAGCGUGGGGAGCGAACAGG